rnacentral:rRNA from 1 species
GCGCAGCAGUCGCGAAAUCUUCCACAAUGGACGAAAGUCUGAUGGAGCGACGCCGCGUGCGGGAUGAAGGCCUUAUGGGUUGUAAACCGCUGUCAGGGGGGAAGAACAUCGGAAUGAACAAUACUCAUUCCGACUGACGUUACCCCCAGAGGAAGCUCCGGCCAACUCCGUGCCAGCAGCCGCGGUAAUACGGGGGGAGCAAGCGUUUGUCCGGAAUUAUUGGGCGUAAAGGGCGUGUAGGCGGCGAGGUAAGUCGAAUGUGAAAUCUCACGGCUCAACCGUGAAAACUGCGUUCGAAAACU